GGUAGCGUGUCCGAGCGGCCUAAGGAGCACGCCUCGAAAGCGUGUGUGGGUGAAAAUCCACCGUGGGUUCAAAUCCCACCGUUACCGCCA
rnacentral:tRNA from 1 species